rnacentral:rRNA from 1 species
GCCAGCAGCCACAUCACCCUGCAACUCCCAGCUGGCAGCCCACUGAAGCUCAGCAGCUGUGAGCCUGGUCAGUACCUGGAAGGGAGACCUCCUGUGGAAAACCAAGGUUGCUGCUGGAA